GAUGAACGCUGGCGGCAGGCCUAACACAUGCAAGUCGAGGGGUAGAACACUUCGGUGUUUGAGACCGGCGCACGGGUGCGUAACGCGUAUGCAAUCUACCUUGUACAGGGGAAUAGCCCAGAGAAAUUUGGAUUAAUGCCCCAUAGUAUAUAACCUUCGCAUGUUGGUUAUAUUAAAGUUCCAACGGUACAAGAUGAGCAUGCGUCCCAUUAGUUAGUUGGUAAGGUAACGGCUUACCAAGACGAUGAUGGGUAGGGGUCCUGAGAGGGAGAUCCCCCACACUGGUACUGAGACACGGACCAGACUCCUACGGGAGGCAGCAGUGAGGAAUAUUGGUCAAUGGUCGCAAGACUGAACCAGCCAUGCCGCGUGCAGGAAGACGGUCCUAUGGAUUGUAAACUGCUUUUAUACAGGAAGAAACCCUCCCACGUGUGGGAGCUUGACGGUACUGUAGGAAUAAGGAUCGGCUAACUCCGUGCCAGCCGCCGCGGUAA
rnacentral:rRNA from 1 species